UAAGGAAUAUUGCUCAAUGGGAGAAAUCCUGAAGCAGCAACGCCGCGUGGAGGAUGAAGGGUCUAUGACUUGUAAACUCCUGUAAAGAAGGAAAAAAUUCCCAUUUGAUGGGAGAUGAUGGUACUUCUGGAGUAAGCCCCGGCUAACUACGUGCCAGCAGCCGCGGUAAUACGUAGGGGGCAAGCGUUGUCCGGAUUUACUGGGUGUAAAGGGUGCUCAGGCGGAUUUGUAAGUCAGAGGUGAAAUCUUACAGCUUAACUGUGAAACUGCCUUUGAUACUGCAAGCCUAGAGUAUGGAAGAGAGUGAUGGAAUAUCUGGUGUAGCAGUGAAAUGCGUAGAUAUCAAGAGGAACACCUGAGGCGAAGGCGGGUUGCUGGGCCGACACUGACGCUGAUGCGCGAAAGCUAGGGGAGCAAACG
rnacentral:rRNA from 1 species